AACUGGUCCAAAGAUAGUAAGUUAUCUUGAUUAUUCACAGUUACAGAUUAAACUCUUGUUCUAUUCUUCCCCCACUUCUAACUACUACACUUGACUAGUCUUAA
rnacentral:Y_RNA from 1 species